rnacentral:tRNA from 1 species
CAGAGCAUAGCUAAGCGAGUAUAGCCCCUCUUUUACGCAGAGACGUCGUCCGUUCAAAUCGGGCUGCCCUGAC